AGAGUUUGAUCCUGGCUCAGAACGAACGCUGGCGGCGUGCCUAACACAUGCAAGUCCAACGUGAAAGGGGAGCAAUCCCCCGGUAGGGUGGCAAACGGGUGAGUAAUACAUGGGUGAUCUACCUUAGGGAUGGGGAUAUCCUUCCGAAAGGAGGGGCAAUACCGAAUAUUGUCCGGAGCCGUGAAGGGUUCCGGGGAAAGGGAGGCCUCUGAUACAAGCUUUCGCCUUAAGAUGAGCCCAUGGCCCAUCAGCUAGUUGGUAGGGUAAAGGCCUACCAAGGCUACGACGGGUCGCUGGUCUGAGAGGACGACCAGCCACACUGGCACUGAGAUACGGGCCAGACUCCUACGGGAGGCAGCAGUGAGGAAUAUUGCGCAAUGGGGGAAACCCUGACGCAGCAACGCCGCGUGUGGGAAGAAGGCCUUCGGGUCGUAAACCACUUUUGCACGGGACGAAAAAGGGAUAUCGAACAAAUAUCCCCGAUGACGGUACCGUGAGAAUAAGCCACGGCUAACUCUGUGCCAGCAGCCGCGGUAAGACAGAGGUGGCAAGCGUUUGUUCGGGAAUUACUGGGCGUAAAGAGUCUGU
rnacentral:rRNA from 1 species